rnacentral:rRNA from 1 species
UCAUUGGGUUUAAAGGGUCCGUAGGUUGAUAAUUAAGUCAGAGGUGAAAUCUUGCAGCUCAACUGUAAAAUUGCCUUUGAUACUGGUUAUCUUGAGUUAUUAUGAAGUAGUUAGAAUAUGUAGUGUAGCGGUGAAAUGCAUAGAUAUUACAUAGAAUACCAAUUGCGAAGGCAGAUUACUAAUAAUCAACUGACACUGAUGGACGAAAGCGUGGGUAGCGAACAGGAUUAGAUACCCUGGUAGUCCACGCCGUAAACGAUCAUCACUCGCUGUUGGCGAUAUACUGUCAGCGGCCAAGCGAAAGUAUUAAGUGAUGCACCUGGGGAGUACGCCGGCAACGGUGAAACUCAAAGGAAUUGACGGGGGCCCGCACAAGCGGUGGAGCAUGUGGUUUAAUUCGAUGAUACGCGAGGAACCUUACCAGGGCUUAAAUGUAGUAUGACCGGCUUGGAAACAGGCCUUCUCUUCGGAGCAGAUUACAAGGUGCUGCAUGGUU